GCUGCAACUCGCCUGCAUGAAGUCGGAAUUGCUAGUAAUCGCAGAUCAGCAUGCUGCGGUGAGUACGUUCCCGGGCCUUGUACACACCGCCCGUCACACCAUGGGAGUCGGUAACACCCGAAGUCGGUAGUCUAACCGAAAGGAGGACGCCGCCGAAGGUGGGAUUGAUGACUGGGGUGAAGUCGUAACAAGGUAAC
rnacentral:rRNA from 1 species